rnacentral:misc_RNA from 1 species
GAUUAUCUUCCAACAUUGCCCAAUGCUGUGAGUUAUCUAUGCUGAUUAGAUUUGUUUGAUAUAUUGGAGGUUUAGUGUAAGAGAAAUCCAAGUCAUACAACUCUAGAUUUGAAUUGGACACUCCAUUUUCCCACUUACUUGGAGUAAUCAAAACAAUUCUUCUCUGCAAUAGUGGUCUCUCUCUUUUCUUGCGUGUAUAAGGUCUUCUCUGCAACAGGUGAAGAAAAUCCAUCUCAGGCUCAGCAGCUAGAAUACUGGCUUAAGGAAACAUGUUUUUAUUUGUGUGUGUUUUCUUUUUUCGCUCACAUUAGACCCUUAAGCUUAUAAUAUCACCAUAGAUUUUUGUGAUGAGAAAUUCUUGCCUAGGCCCAAUCUAUAUAGACCCAAAGGCUUAUCAAGAGAUAUAUUACAUGUGGGACCACCAGUUUUGUAUGAAAAUCCAUCCAUCUGUUGGACCACAUGAACCGGGUCUAGGCAAGAAUGAUUCUUUUGUAAUUACUCUGAUGUUAUUUGAGCUAGUCAUCGUAAUCCUUUCCUUCAGUGUUCCUUCAUUGAGCAUGACUAGCAGUCCACAUAAACUGGGUCUAGGCAAGAAUGAUUCUUCUGUAACUAAUCUUAUGUUAUUUGAGCCAGUCAUCUUAAUCCUUUACUUAGUGUUCCUUCAUUGAGCAUGACU